CACAGUGCUAGUAAAAUGAGUAGUAAUGAUGAGCAGUAACUAGAAUACAACAGGUUCUCGGAAUCGUUAGCCACUGUGCAAAUUGUGCCUAAAGCACAGUCAAGUGCCGAAUUGCAAUCGAACUCCCGCGCAAACUGCAAGGCCUUCCUCAAUAAAUUGAAGAUAGCGAUUAAAAUGAGAAAAAACAACACAUUUGACUAAAUGACUGUCAUGGCGCAGUGUGGUUAGAACUCAUACGAAUGUGACAGGCAAAAUGGCAGUAGCAUCUUCAAAUUGGACAGGGAAUGGUGAGGCGGUGGGUCGUGAGUUAGCCAAGGUCGUUUGGUGUUCUUGAGUUCUUGGCAAAUUCAUAAGUGGCGAAAAUUGCACAAUUAAGUACAAGUACAAGUACCUACACGGCGAACACGCUCCUCGGCCUUUUGGCCCGACUUAGCCUGGCCCUAACCUUUUGGUCCGUAACCAAACGCAACUCGGCAUUACCUCAACUUACAUUUCACUCGUAAGCAAAAGACUCUGAAAGUGAUGCGAUGCCCGAACUAAUUGCAACUAAUUGAAAUUCACGCUGGCGGCUGUUGCGAAAACACUGUUCAAAUGACGCAGUUCCUCCGGUGACAAAUUGGUCGGCACAGAGAGUUUUUGCUGAACGUUUUCAAGUGCAAAACUUAAGAUCGGAUAAGGAGAACAACCUAAAUGGAUCUCCAGGGCAAGGCGAUCUGGACUUGGCAAUACCGAUCUCAUUGUCACUCAUCACAACGCAAUCAGCUGAAUAUGGAUAGUAUGUUAAUGCUCUUUUUCUCGUUUAUUUGCCUAUUCGGAAUACAUUUCAGCACACGCUUCUGGCGAUCCUUUUGGCCGAAUGCCGUUGGCCGCUUUGCGAUUCUCAGGCCGUCCGUUGGCCAAUUUAUCAAACAUGGCUUUUACGAUUUCGAGGUGCUUGUCAGGCAGCGUACAACCCAAAUCCAUUAGUGUUUAGCACAAGAUCGUAAACCUGUAUCCCUAUUUUUAGACUAUUCUUUCGUCCAGCAGCCCCACGCCCAUUCAUAUGAAUACUCGUGGCUGGCACGUUUGGAUGGUUGGAGUUUUAUUGGUGAAUAUAGUUGACUUUAAUGGAUAAAGUUAUAAAGUAGGCAUGAUGUUGAAUACUUGUUGUUGGUAGUUAAAUUAUUACUAUCUAUACAUUUUAAUUCGUAAUUCGGUCAGCCUAGUGUAAGUAUUUUACAUAGAACACGAGACUAAAUCCAUUUUAAAUAAAUUAUAUUUAAUUCAA